rnacentral:ncRNA from 1 species
GAAACCCUCUCUGUCUUCGGUUAGCCCUUUAUUGUUGCUUGAACUUGGGGGCUCGAUAUUGCCUUCAUCCAUCCUCCAACUUUAAAUAUGUAAGAAGCCCUUGUUGCUUAGUUGAACGUGGGCAUUCGAGUUUAUCAACACCAGUGGGCUAUCUUUGGUAAGCAGAACUGGAGAUGCGUGAUGAACCGAGCGCGAGGUCAAAGUGCCAGAGUAGACGCUCAUCAGACACCACAAAAGGCGCUGGUACAUUUUGACAGUAGGACGGCGGCCAUGGAAGUCAGAAUCUACCAAGGACUGUGUAACAACUCGCUUGCCGAAAGCACUGGCCCUGAAAUCGCGCAUGUAUUAGAACUGUAAUUAGAACAAGGCUGGGUGAUUGGAUUGCUUACCAUGAACAAGUA